rnacentral:miRNA from 3 species
GAAAUCAAGCGUGGGUGAGACCU